GGAAGGGAGAUAUUGAGACAAAGUGGAGCAGUGCCUGGAGAGGUUUAUUGGUGGUGUCUCUGCUCUCUCGGACUAAGUACCAGCUGGAGCGCGUCAUUAUUGUAGCAACACUUUGGUAACUGUCAGAAGUAACAGAAAAUGAAUCCUUGCAGAAGCAUACAAGAUGUACAGAGAGGACAUAAGCUCCAUACAAGUAUAGACACAGAGACGUUGUGCACACUUUGCUGACGAAGGAGAAUUUGAGAACAGGUAUUGAGAACACUUAUUUCAUCUGAAACCUCCACAGACUAAGCAGCAAUGGCAGAAAAUAGCUCUCACCAAAAUGCAAGGGGCGAGACCUUGAGACCAGCAAUAUUUUCAGCGUUGGAUCCACAGGAAUUGCUUGCCCCACAUGGUCUGCAUAUCUGCACAUGCUUGGACUCAAGUGAUUGCCUUUCAUGUAGGUAUUAAAUGGCUGAUGAUAUCCUUCCCUCCUUCUUAAACUAGAGGUUGAGACUUCCUUCAACCUGACUGUCAUGUGUAUACUUCAGUCAAGCAAUGGCUCCUGAUGUCAAAGGAGGCUGUGCACAUGCAGCCAGUGUCCUCCACAGAGGGCCAGGACCCAGACAAGGGAAGGAAUUAAUGGAAUGUGCAGCCCAAGUGUGUACUGUCCGUUUCUGACAACACCAAAGUGGAACUAGCUCAUUCAAUGAGAAAAACAGAAGUUUAAUGGGGCAAUUCAGUUCCCAUCACAUCAGCCGGGGGGAAUUUGCAGUAUCAGAGAAAAGGUUUUUAAGUAGGAAAUCACCUCAACACUCUUUUCUUUAUGUGUCAAAACACAUUAUAUAUGCACAACUGUAAUAUCUCCUCCCCCUCACCUCCACUCCAUCAUACAUCAUCACUAUUUGAAUGCUAAGUCUUCACCAUUACAGCACAAAUUAUUGCUACUGAAUUGACUACGUUAGCUGGCAGCAAUUAUCCUGGAUAAACAAGCUACUAAAAGAGAUACAAAACACAGAGGAUAGGAAUUGAGUUACCUGGGAAUGAGGAGCCCUAUUAUACAGAUAGCGUAACCAAGGAAAAAAAUACAUGACAGGCUCUUUCUAAGGCCAGGUCUAUAAUUUAAAUAAUGUAGCUAGAGUUGACGUAUCUUAAGCUGAGCAUGGCACCGUCUCCAUAGUGGGAGCAAAUGUCCGUGUCAACUUCCCUGACUCCUCAUGAAUUGAGGAGUACCAGUGCCAACUGAGGAAGCCUUUAGUGUUUGAUUUAGCGGGUCCUUACUAGACCCACUCAAUCGAACUCCAGAAUAUUAAUCUCUGGUGUGUUAAGUAUAGACAUGGCCUAAGAAAAUGUGAGUAGGUCUUCACUACAGAGUUAAAUUGUCUUCCUGUCAAGUUUUUCUCCUCACCUCCCUCCAGACACACACAAACUCUGCUCACCAUAGUUUGGUGGUUCUUUCAACCUGGACUAGCUGGCAUGGCUGUGGAUGUAUGUUAAAGCCUAAAUGCUACUUUCACUUGGUCCAGUGACCUACCUGAUUUGCAGUUCAGAUACAAGCUACAUCACUUGAGUGCUGAUAAUCUUCCAAUGCCUUCCCACAAUUCUCUCUUUACACCCAGAAGGAUGAGCAUGUUCUCUCGCAAUAGACUGGGAAAGAGCUCUAGAGUGACUUAGCUUACAGAAGUACAAAAGUGCAACAGGUAUAACUCAUUGCAGAGGUACUGCUUAAUAAUAACUAUGGGGGGAAUGUAAUUAGCAUUAAUCAGCAGAAGUGGGGCUAAAACUCAUGCCGUGUCCUAAUUCCCUCUCGUUACAAUCAUUUGUUUUAUGGCAAUCCCUACCACAAUCAGAGAUCUCCCACAACCAAAGCAGUGGGGAGAAAGCAUCAUAUACAUUUGUGUGCUGUGGUAGGAACUGAGGGAAGAGAUCAUUUAAGUGGCUCACAAGUAACUCCACAUAAAUAAGCUUUGCUCCCUUUGUCACUCCUUACAUAUUGGCCUGAACAUACUCAGGAGCGGUCAAGCAGGAUACAUAAACAAAACCAAGAAGGGUCAACUAGGCUUUAAAAGCCAUAGAAAAGAUACAAUAGAUGUGCAGCACUAUUUCAUUGCAACAUUAAUAUUGCCAUAAUGAGACAGUGCUCCAAAAGUAACACAGGCCAGGCUUUCCUAUGUUUGGUAGACUGUCUAAUGAACCUGCUUACAAAUGGAAUCUUAAGUACUUGUAAUCAGGAUACUAUUAUCUCGGAAUGGGCUUUCCAUUCAGGCUGCUAUUCAUGUAGCUUCUAAAUUCAGAAUAAAAAGGAAAUGUUUCACAUGCAGAAUAUUUCACAAAUUCAGCAUAUUCUAAUAUGUCUAAGGAAGCAGACUUCAUUCUAAGAGAUUGCCUGGAGGGGGGAAGACAGAGGGGAGGGAUUGACCAGAUUGAGUGUUAUAUACCCUUUACAUAAGAAAGCUUUCUUAUCUCAGGUAUGGUCUAUAUGGGGAAUUGAAUAAAGCACAAUAAAUGACACCGAUGUUUCUAUUCCAGAACAUCUCCCCAUAUGGACACCUUGUUCUGGAAUAAUUACUUUAGCAGCUUAUUCUAUUAUAGCCCUACUGACCAAUUUCCCCAUGAAAUAGGAACCCUUUGCAGUAUAAUCUGAUGUUAUAUAGCAAACAGACCAGCCAACCCCUCCACUGCCCCUUUGCUUCUCCAUUUUCCUGAAAUUCCAAAUAACAUCAUUAAUUAAUUAUUAUUAUUAAGUAGUGUUUGCUAGUUAUAAUUGUAUAGUUAUUUUUUCUCCCCUAAAUUCCAGUUCUUUAAUUACAUAAGAUGGUAGAAAUAAAGCAUUUGCUUGUUCUAAAGAAUUCCCAUUCUAAUAUUCAUAGUGUUGUCCAAAUGCCACUUAAUUUUGAGUGUUUUCCUUUUAUAUGCCCAGGGGGUAUUUAUAUGCAAGACACUGCAACCUCAAAGUGAUAUCUCACACACAAAUUGCUACCAUCAAUGUUCCUUCUUACAUCAAUAAUCAUCCUAAUGUUGUCUGUUUAUGAAAUCUGUAUCAGAGUAUUCCUUCUGAGUGAACAAGAGUGCCUGGUAUUGAAUGAGGAUACUGAUAUAACUGGCAUCACAGAGACUUGUAGAAUGAGGAUAAUCAAAGGGACAAAUACCAGGGUACAUAAUCCAUCAGAAGGACAGAACAGAUUGUGCUGGUGGGAGAGUGGCACUAUAUGUGAAAGAAAAUGUAGAAUCAAAUGAAGUGAGAAUAUUAAAUGAACCAAACUGUCCCAUAGAAUCUCAAUGCAGGUUUACUAUCUCUCUGGAUAGUAAACAUCCACUCAGUGUAGAGCAAUGGUCAAAAAAUGAACAGAAUGUUGGGAAUC